UGGCGGACGGGUGAGUAAUGUCUGGGAAACUGCCUGAUGGAGGGGGAUAACUACUGGAAACGGUAGCUAAUACCGCAUAACGUCGCAAGACCAAAGAGGGGGACCUUAGGGCCUCUUGCCAUCGGAUGUGCCCAAAUGGGAUUAGCUAGUAGGUGGGGUAACGGCUCACCCAGGCGACGAUCCCUAGCUGGUCUGAGAGGAUGACCAGCCACACUGGAACUGAGACACGGUCCAG
rnacentral:rRNA from 1 species